ACGAACGCUGGCUGCAGGCUUAACACAUGCAAGUCGAGCGCCCCGCAAGGGGAGCGGCAGACGGGUGAGUAACGCGUGGGAAUCUACCCAUCUCUACGGAAUAACCCAGGGAAACUUGGACUAAUACCGUAUACGUCCUUCGGGAGAAAGAUUUAUCGGAGAUGGAUGAGCCCGCGUUGGAUUAGCUAGUUGGUGGGGUAAUGGCCUACCAAGGCGAUGAUCCACAGCUGGUCUGAGAGGAUGAUCAGCCACAUUGGGACUGAGACACGGCCCAAACUCCUACGGGAGGCAGCAGUGGGGAAUAUUGGACAAUGGGCGAAAGCCUGAUCCAGCCAUGCCGCGUGAGUGAUGAAGGCCCUAGGGUUGUAAAGCUCUUUCAACGGUGAAGAUAAUGACGGUAACCGUAGAAGAAGCCCCGGCUAACUUCGU
rnacentral:rRNA from 1 species